UACGUAGGGUGCGAGCGUUAAUCGGAAUCACUGGGCUUAAAGCGCGCGAGGCGGAUGUUUAAGUGUCUUGUGAAAAUCCCACGGCUCAACCGUGGAACUGCUGGGCAUACUGGACAUCUCGAGGCACUCAGGGGCGAGCGGAACAAGUGGUGGAGGCGGUGAAAUGCGUAGAUAUCAUUGGAAGCGCCAAUGGUGAAAACAGGUAGCUGGGGCUGAUGCUGACGCUGGAGACAGAAAGCCAGGGAGGCGAACGGGA
rnacentral:rRNA from 1 species